UGAAUCGAUGGUAUUACCCCAUAAUUUUACUUAUACUUUUAACAGUUAAUUUAAGACUUAGCGUUGAGUCCGUAAAUUUGAUACCUUUAAAUUUACCUAAUAAAAGCAAAAUUUUUCAUUUGAGAAAUUUUUUGCUUUACUUUAGAUAGUCAUAAUAUGCGUGAUUUAUUUAUUUUAUUGAUUAUUAAUUUUUCACUGUAUGUUAUCAAUAGACGUUAGAAGAACUUUUAAAAAAAUCCAGCUUUGGUAAAAGAGUUCUUGCUUCAUAUAAAAAAAAUCCAAAACGUAAAAAAAAUUAUGAAGGCCUCACUGAACACGAUCGGAAUAAACUCGUCGACAUAAUUAUUGAUGAUGAAAUUAAAACUAGCCUUGACAAAUGCAUAUCAGGAAAACGUUUUAUAGAAAUAGCUAACGCCAUUGUAGAGCUUUUUCCCAAAGAAAACAAGUUGACGUACAUUUUUAUCACUGAGAAUGGACAGUUUGUAGCUGGCCAUGGCAAAUUAUAUCGACGAUGGUCAAAUACGAGACGGGAAAUGAUUAAGCUUGGUUUGAUUUCCAUUAACAAAAAUAAGCGUAAGAGAAAUGAAGAUAUCGAAACUGAGGAAAGUGAAAAUGAUGGUUCGACUAUAACUUUAGAAUCUUUGAAAGACCUUGAUGUACCUUUAGAUGAAUU